rnacentral:rRNA from 1 species
UACAGAGGGUGCGAGCGUUAAUCGGAAUUAGCUGGGCGUAAAGCGUGCGUAGACGGUUAUGUAGUCGGUGUGAAAGCCCCGGGCUCAACCUGGGAAUUGCAUUCGAGACUGCAUAGCUAGGGUGCGGAAGAGGGAAGCGGAAUUUCCGGUGUAGCGGUGAAAUGCGUAGAUAUCGGAAGGAACACCAGUGGCGAAAGCGGCUUCC